rnacentral:rRNA from 1 species
ACGGGAGGCAGCAGUGGGGGAUAUUGCACAAUGGGGGAAACCCUGAUGCAGCGACGCCGCGUGAGUGAAGAAGGAUUUCGGUAUGUAAAGCUCUAUCAGCAGGGAAGAAAAAUGACGGGACCUGACUAAGAAGCACCGGCUAAAUACGUGCCAGCAGCCGCGGUAAUACGCAUGGUGCAAGCGUUAUCCGGAUUUACUGGGUGUAAAGGGAGCGCAGGCGGUACAGCAAGUCUGAUGUGAAAGCCCGGGGCUCAACCCCGGUACUGCAUUGGAAACUGUCGAACUAGAGUGUCGGAGGGGUAAGCGGAAUUCCUAGUGUAGCGGUGAAAUGCGUAGAUAUUAGGAGGAACACCAGUGGCGAAGGCGGCUUACUGGACGAUAACUGACGCUGAGGCUCGAAAGCGUGGGGAGCAAACAGGAUUAGAUACCCUGGUA